CGGCGGGGCGGGGAAGCGGAAAGGGGGCGUGGCUGAGGGCGGGAGGAUUAAGCUGCCUUUUUGAAAGAGGAGCGCCAGGUCCCGGAUUCUGGGCGGAGGUGGUUGCUGAUUGGUGGAACUCGAGGCGGCGGUUGGGCGGGUCCUGGUCACGUGGGGAGAGUGGGCGGGGGAAGUUCGGAGAGCGGGAGCUGGAUUGUAGUGGGCUGGGCCCCACUGAGCUGGGAUGGCAGGAGGAUAGUCUUGGGGAGGAGCGUGGGGUGCUGGAUGCAUAACUACGUCCCGAACUGGUUCCUGUGUUUUUCUAGGGCAUGUGGGCUAGGGAUGGGUACUUGAGCAGAAGCCAGCAACUUGAAUGAAGAGUCUGUGCAGGAGUUACCUGCAGUGUCGGAAAUGACUGUCCUGUAUGCUCAACAAGCUCAUUUAUGGAAAGUCAUCCAUUUGUUGAGACCAGCCCAAAAGACCCUCAGGAACUUAGAAUAUUCCUACCGACUUUGAAGACCAUAGCCCCAAAGCUGAGCUGUGAAAUGGAGCAGCAAAGAAGAGUAUCAUUGUCAAAGCUCAAGUUCCAUCAGAAUGAUAAAGUAGGCAGAAAGUGUUUUGGGGGCCACCACUGCCUUCUCUUUCUGCACUAUCUCCUACCUCCCUUCCCUCCCAAGUGCCCAGGGUCCUAGGCCACAUCCGAUCUAUUUGGGGUUCCUCUGCAGCAUCCCACUAAAGCUUACUUUUCAUGGGUAUAUUCUAAAGUGAACCAAAUCCUAUCUUUCAACAAAAGUUGCUACUCUUUAUUCCAUUUUUUAUGGGCCCCAUUUUUUUCCUCGGGAAAGAUAAUAUUCAAAAAAUCUAUUUCUGAUAAAUUGUUAAUGAUGAGAAUGGAUUUAGGAAACUGGCACAAAAAUACUUGCUGAAGAUAUAAAAGCAUCUGGUAAUCUAAUAAUAUCUGUAGGUCACAUGUAUAUGUUCUAACAGGGGCCACUUGGAUACAUUUCUUAAAUUACAGAAAAUGAUGUGGUUAUAAAGUAAUCCAAUAAUAAUUGAUUGAA